rnacentral:rRNA from 1 species
UAUGUCCUACGGGAGGCAGCAGUGGGGAAUAUUGCACAAUGGGGGAAACCCUGAUGCAGCGACGCCGCGUGAGUGAAGAAGUAUUUCGGUAUGUAAAGCUCUAUCAGCAGGGAAGAUAAUGACGGUACCUGACUAAGAAGCCCCGGCUAACUACGUGCCAGCAGCCGCGGUAAUACGUAGGGGGCAAGCGUUAUCCGGAUUUACUGGGUGUAAAGGGAGCGUAGGUGGCAGGGCAAGUCUGGAGUGAAAGGCGGGGGCUCAACCCCGGGACUGCUCUGGAACCUGUACGGCUGGAG